rnacentral:pre_miRNA from 1 species
AGCCUUCUGAAUUCAUGCCGAGGUGUUGUAAGACAUCAGACAAUCAGAACUGAUUAGGCUCUCAAGAUAAGUGAAGCG